rnacentral:rRNA from 1 species
GAUGAACGCUGGCGGCGUGCCUAAUACAUGCAAGUCGAGCGAACGGACGAGAAGCUUGCUUCUCUGAUGUUAGCGGCGGACGGGUGAGUAACACGUGGAUAACCUACCUAUAAGACUGGGAUAACUUCGGGAAACCGGAGCUCAUACCGGAUAAUAUUUUGAACCGCAUGGUUCAAAAGUGAAAGACGGUCUUGCUGUCACUUAUAGAUGGAUCCGCGCUGCAUUAGCUAGUUGGUAAGGUAACGGCUUACCAAGGCAACGAUGCAUAGCCGACCUGAGAGGGUGAUCGGCCACACUGGAACUGAGACACGGUCCAGACUCCUACGGGAGGCAGCAGUAGGGAAUCUUCCGAAAUGGGCGAAAGCCUGACGGAGCAACGCCGCGUGAGUGAUGAAGGUCUUCGGAUCGUAAAACUCUGUUAUUAGGGAAGAACAUAUGUGUAAGUAACUGUGCACAUCUUGACGGUACCUAAUCAGAAAGCCACGGCUAACUACGUG